rnacentral:rRNA from 1 species
AUUGAACGCUGGCGGCAUGCUUUACACAUGCAAGUCGAACGGUAACAGGUUAAGCUGACGAGUGGCGAACGGGUGAGUAAUGCAUCGGAACGUGCCCGAUCGUGGGGGAUAACGCAGCGAAAGCUGCGCUAAUACCGCAUACGAUCUGAGGAUGAAAGCGGGGGACCGUAAGGCCUCGCGCGAUCGGAGCGGCCGAUGUCAGAUUAGGUAGUUGGUGGGGUAAAGGCCCACCAAGCCGACGAUCUGUAGCUGGUCUGAGAGGACGACCAGCCACACUGGGACUGAGACACGGCCCAGACUCCUACGGGAGGCAGCAGUGGGGAAUUUUGGACAAUGGGCGAAAGCCUGAUCCAGCAAUGCCGCGUGCAGGAAGAAGGCCUUCGGGUUGUAAACUGCUUUUGUACGGAGCGAAAAGGCCCUUUCUAAUACAAGGGGCUCAUGACGGUACCGUAAGGAUAAGCACCGGCUAACUACGUGCCAGCAGCCGCCGUAA